UCACCGUGCUUUCCUGAUGAAGAAAUUCAGACACCACAAUAGCAGUGGCGAGCUCUGGUCGGCAAACAAUAACUCCUCCCUUUUUAGUUCUGGCGUUGGAUUUGCUUUUCUUUUCAUUUUUUUUCCUCCAUUUCUUCUUUUUUGUUAAGUGGAUGAUUAUGAAGAUUGUGAAGGGAUUUUGUAUAGGAAGAGAUGUUGAUUAAUGAUUCUACGGAAUGAAAUGUCUGAAAUGAAAGAAUAGCAGCAAUUGUGCAGGAGAAGGUGAAACAAGGAAUGCGUGAAUAUUCACAAUUAUAUGGAGAAUUUAGCAAUCAGCUUUCAAGCAUUUACUCAUAUAUCAUCCAGAGCUUUGUUCCAAAUCUUUAGGCUGUAGCACCUCUUUUGAUAGCUGAUGUGAUGAGCACGCGUUGCUGUCAAACUAGCAGUCGCUGCUGUUAGUUCAAUAUUGGCAUUACAUUGGAAUGUAAAUCACUUGCUUCUUCAAAUAUCCACAAAACUCACACCUUUGCCAGAAACUCUUGUAGAUGGGAAGCGCCAAAUUUUUUAUCAGGUCAGAAUUUCUCAUUUUACUUGUGUUUAACUGUUAAAAUUAUUUGUGCUUGCAAUUAUCAGAUGGAGAAGAACAGAGGGUUAACUCGUGCUCGGAAGAAGCUAACCAAAAAUCCAAGAAAGAAGCACAAGUUGAAACACCAAAAAGCAGUGGUGCGUCGGAAGGGACAAGUGCGAGAUAUCAGGAAGCCAACUGCUACUUAUGGUGGGUAUUAAUGCAGCAAUCAGCCGCAGCAUUAGGUUUAAGAGCUAGUCAUUGCGGUGCUGCAUUUGCAUUUUUGGAAAUAGGAUGUUGUUUUAUAUACAUGUUUUUGCAGUAAUUAUCAUGUUGAAGAGGGAAUUUUAGGUUGAGGGAAGUUCAUGUCCGCUGUCUAUUUUUUAGUAGACGUACAAUUUUUGUGAUUGUGACAAAAAAGUUUUGGAGUUUUCAAUCAGAUCUUACCUUCAUGCAUUCAUGGUCCAAUAAGUAGUACAUAUAAUAUAAGCUCUUACUUCCUUGGUGCUCAACAUUCUAGUAAACCUGGUAGUAGUUUCAUUUUAUCAUAUUUGAUGAUACUACUAGAUAUGUGUGGCUUACUGUAUCUUUUAGCUCCAUCUGCCAAUCAUUAUCUGUGUAAUUACCUGU